AGUAAGCCUCUCUGCGUGUGGUAAAAAUCAGUGUAUUACUUGCGUGUGUUUUUCUGUACUGAAAUUGUGUGUGGUAGGUUGUGUGAGUUCGUGCUCUUCCUGACCGGCAUCCAAAAAUUCUCAUUUACUAUUGAGUUAGCCCAACUAAAGAUACAGUAACACCAACAGCCUCCCCAACAAACAAUAAUUCAGUAGGACUUUACUGUAUCAUACUAACGUCACGCCACGUUACCGGAAUCAAUGUCUGCUUUUCUUGUCAGCAGAUGAUGGUUCCAAGAACAUCUGCCAGCCAGGGCAAGUAGCUGUUUUAUAUGCUGCGAAGUGGUGGGAACAGCAGCAGCACUCAUGACUGCCCUCACCAGCACUAACAGAAUCAGCCAGAGGCUGGCUGAAAUUAUACACCUGUGGAAUGUUGAAACAAAGGAAAGGAAUGCUCUGUUAAGUGUGCUGUUCACAAAUUAAUGAGGUAGACAAAAAGGAAAUGUGGGUAAAGCAGCUGAAGAAAUUAAUUAUACUCUGUGUGCUCCCCAGGGACCCUGAUUACAUUACAUGGAUGUCGGCCAAGCAAGUGCUACGUGUGCAGAGGAGCAGUUGGUGCAACAGGCUCACCCCUGACGGCCUGUACUGGAACCACAAAAAUUCGACUAUAUCAGAGACUGGCAUAAAAUAUACAUUCUGGACAUUGCCAUAGAGCAAGCCGGAAUGCUGUGCCUAGUGUGCUGUGCCAGAAUUAAUAAAAUACAUGAGCAGGAAACCCGGCUGAAGCAAAAAAAAAAUUUUAAGCCUCCUCCUGUUUCCCUGGGACCCUGAUUAUGGAAAUCACAGCGAAAACUCCAAAAAUAAGUCACAUUAAAUGAUUAAAAUUGCCACAGAAAGUUAAGCAUGUAACCAAAGAUCAUCGGAGCGCCAAGUGAUUCCAGGUGACGAAAGCUGCACAUGUUCUGUCCUCUCAAGAAGAUUUGUUGGAGAGACUAAUCUGGCACCAGUUUGUUUUAGAAUUGUGGAGUAUGUUUUUGCACAUGUGUUAUGACCUCCUUGGGGACAUGUGAUCUCAGUAGGUAUCAACACAGUGAAAAUUGGGAAACAAGGAAAUACCAAAGAAAUUGUAAAGUUCAUCUUAUUAUGUACAUGAGAGGUCCAGAAGGUACAAGACACUAGCAUCCAGGUUGAUAUAUGUGCCUUGCCUUCAAGAAGGCUUUUGGUACACUUCCACACAAUGAGAAACUGAACAAAAUAUGAGCUUACAAGAUUAUUACUUCAGCUUUGUGGUCAUUUGAUAUUUCUUAACGUGUAUGAGUCAACAAAAUGUUCUUGAUAAGUAUUAGUUGUGAUCUGUAUGACAUACUUUCUUGGGAUGCAGUGAAAUGUAAUGACAGAGCCAUUGUUCACAAUACAAGCAUAUCUGUACCCAUUAUGGAAGUAUGUACUAUUAUUGCUUAGCCAGCUGAACAGCCUACAGUUUAAAUCAGUCGUGAAACAGCACUAAUUCUUACAGUGCUUGUGUAGUACUUCAACAUCUAUGUUGAGGGCACACCCUCUUACAUGAAUACAUACAUCUGAUGGGGGAGAAUCUGUAGCCAAUAAUGUGUACUAUAAACAUUUAAGAAAAACAUGAAAAUGCAGCAACAUUAAUAACUUAACAGACAGUAUGUUUAAGUCACUAUGCAGCCAGAAUACUGUAAUUCUAACUUUGCUUUCUUAUGUGAUGACGUAUUUGGAUACUAUGAUCACUAUAAUAACGGUUCCAGUAACUGGUAUUCAGUUGUAUCUUCCAUGUCCCUGUAUGUGACUGUGUAAGAUUUGGUCAGUAGGUAACUAGCCCAGAGCCACUACUAGUUGCAGAUUGCUUAUGUCACAACUUCUGAGGACAAUGAAAAUUAAUAAUCAUUUCCCCAAAUUGACAAAUUCAGAAAUUUAUAAUGCCAUAAUUUACUCUUUAAGAUGUGUAAUAUAGUAGCAGUUCGGGUGAAUAAGACAAGUACUACAGUUAGGAACUGGAGAAAGUGAGUGCUUGUCUUAACAUUGAUUGACUGCAUCUACCUUGACUUUACCUAUCCAAUGUUGCUGAGUGAGAGCACUUACAAACUUCCAACAAACUUUAUGGUUAACGUCAAACCUUUCCUGAACAUUUUCUUGGCUAUAUGGACUAAGUAAAUUACUAACACAUGAACUAAUUUACAGAGCAAUUAGUCUGCAGCGUUUUUAAGCAUGGGUGAUAAAUUCUUUAGACAAUACAGAUUUACCAGUACUUUUGUAAACCUGUAUAAGGCAUAGAAUUUUCAUAUACAGCACAGAAACAUGGUAAUAUCAUUGCAGUAGUAUGUUUGCAUUCAAAAUAUCUAUGCAAGCACACUUUGUAGUAACUUCCAACAAACUUUUUGUUCCUCAUGAGUGUCACUUGCAAACCAAUUUGUACAUAAUACUUUCCUUCAUUCAUAAACAUUACUUGACUUGAUACUAAUACGAAAAAUGGCAAAUGUUUUGUUCACAUUCAUAAGCAAUUAUGUCAUUAGUUUAAUUCAUAUGGGGAACUAUGUUAUACAUUUUACAGACUUGAGGUUUCAUUGCAGAAAUGUUAACAGACUGUUCUAUGAGCAUCACAGAUUAACAACAUAUUUGUAUUACUGCAUAGUAAUAUUCAUUAAGGAAGACUGAAUGAAAGAUGGUGACAUGCAAGCACAUUUUUGCAAUGAUAAAUUCCUCCGCAAACUUGGUUAAUUACACCAGCAUCUAUGUCAGCUUUUCAACAAAUAGACUUGCAUUGAACGCAAUUGACAACAUAACUAAUGAAAACAGGGUAUUUCACAAUUCCUAUCACAUGCUUGUAGAGCAAGUUUAGUAGAAGAGGUUUUGGUAAGGAAGCAAUGUCGACAAAUAUACGAAGUCUCCUGUACAACCUGUGAAAGCCUGGAAUAGGAAUUGUGGAACAAAUUGCACACUGAGGAGAACAGUGAGAGCGAAUGACAGAUCAUGUCUUUUGCUUGUGGUGGUGAGGGGAGAUUCCUUCACAUUACCUUCACUGUGUCCCAACAGAGAACAGUAAGACAUCCUUAAUGAACAGGUGCAACUGCCUAAUUGUCUUUUUUGACAUUUUCAGGAGAGUUCUCAGUAUACUUGAAUUUAACUUUUGUAUUAACCCAAAAUGUCAACUGCUCUUCAGUUGUUCUACAACUAGGCAGUCUUAUUGCUUUAACUGCAGUGCCACAACCAAAGAGUGCAUUACAGCAGGUAUGUUUUAAAUUCUGGGACAUAGUUUUUAAUUACUUAAAUAGAGUGCAAAACUUGACUUUACAAUUCUCAUAUAAUUCGCUGAGUUUUCAUAAUGUAAGGAGAUAUUAUGUAACUACAUUUAUAUUGUUAUGUUUCACAAAUUAUUAUUAAAGAAACUUAUUAUUCCACUCUAUCAUAUGUUGAGCCAAUCACUUAAAUCACAAAUAUGACAAUGGAAAACAUAGCAUCCUAUAUAAAAAUUGGGCAGCACAGCUUGCAUGGAACUCAUAUUGGUGUGAAAUAUCCAUACAAAGCUAGCUGCAGAGUAAUAAA